GUGUCCAGCAGUCGCGUUAGACAUAUAGGACAAGUGGUACACAUUUAUGGUAUAAAGGGUCAGUAGUAUGGAUAUAAAAUAAAAAAAUAUAUCUAGAAUAUUAUUAUAUAAAUUAUAAUGAAAUAUAUGAGUAAGGGUUAAAUCUAUAGAUACAUAUAUGACAAUCACAAUAUGAAGAUUUUUAAUUAUAAUAAUAUUGACAUUGAGUGACGAAACCUAUAGUAUCAAGUUGGACUAGUCAACCAAUUAGUUAUAGGUGUAAACAAUGUAUGUUAAUACUUUUUAAAUAUAAAUAUAUAUUUAAGUAUAAAGUUAAUAUGAGAACAUAUCACCUGAGGAGUACUACACAAUGUAGAAACUCAAAACAAUAGACCGUUUAGGUUAUUAACAGUGGAUCAUGUUAUUUAAU
rnacentral:rRNA from 1 species